UACAGGCUUAACACAUGCAAGUCGAGGGGAAACGACAUCGAAAGCUUGCUUUUGAUGGGCGUCGACCGGCGCACGGGUGAGUAACGCGUAUCCAACCUGCCCAUCACUUGGGGAUAACCUUGCGAAAGUAAGACUAAUACCCAAUGACGUCUCUAGAAGACAUCUGAAAGGGAUUAAAGAUUUAUCGGUGAUGGAUGGGGAUGCGUCUGAUUAGCUUGUUGGCGGGGUAACGGCCCACCAAGGCGACGAUCAGUAGGGGUUCUGAGAGGAAGGUCCCCCACAUUGGAACUGAGACACGGUCCAAACUCCUACGGGAGGCAGCAGUGAGGAAUAUUGGUCAAUGGGCGAGAGCCUGAACCAGCCAAGUAGCGUGCAGGAUGACGGCCCUAUGGGUUGUAAACUGCUUUUAUAAGGGAAUAAAGUGAGUCUCGUGAGACUUUUUGCAUGUACCUUAUGAAUAAGGACCGGCUAAUUCCGUGCCAGCAGCCGCGGUAAUACGGAAGGUCCGGGCGUUAUCCGGAUUUAUUGGGUUUAAAGGGAGCGUAGGCCGGAGAUUAAGCGUGUUGUGAAAUGUAGACGCUCAACGUCUGCACUGCAGCGCGAACUGGUUUCCUUGAGUACGCACAAAGUGGGCGGAAUUCGUGGUGUAGCGGUGAAAUGCUUAGAUAUCACGAAGAACUCCGAUUGCGAAGGCAGCUCACUGGAGCGCAACUGACGCUGAAGCUCGAAAGUGCGGGUAUCGAACAGGAUUAGAUACCCUGGUAGUCCGCACGGUAAACGAUGGAUGCCCGCUGUUGGUCUGAAUAGGUCAGCGGCCAAGCGAAAGCAUUAAGCAUCCCACCUGGGGAGUACGCCGGCAACGGUGAAACUCAAAGGAAUUGACGGGGGCCCGCACAAGCGGAGGAACAUGUGGUUUAAUUCGAUGAUACGCGAGGAACCUUACCCGGGCUUGAAUUGCAGAGGAAGGAUUUGGAGACAAUGACGCCCUUCGGGGCCUCUGUGAAGGUGCUGCAUGGUUGUCGUCAGCUCGUGCCGUGAGGUGUCGGCUUAAGUGCCAUAACGAGCGCAACCCCUCUCCUUAGUUGCCAUCAGGUCAAGCUGGGCACUCUGGGGACACUGCCACCGUAAGGUGUGAGGAGAGGUGGGGAUGA
rnacentral:rRNA from 1 species